GACGAACGCGGCGGCGUGCCUAAUACAUGCAAGUCGAGCGAGCGGAACCAGCAGAUCUGCUUCGGCAGUGACGCUGGGAAAGCGAGCGGCGGAUGGGUGAGUAACACGUGGGGAACCUGCCCCAAAGUCUGGGAUACCACUUGGAAACAGGUGCUAAUACCGGAUAAGAAAGCAGAUCGCAUGAUCAGCUUUUAAAAGGCGGCGUAAGCUGUCGCUAUGGGAUGGCCCCGCGGUGCAUAGCUAGUUGGUAGAGUAACGGCCUACCAAGGCAAUGAUGCAUAGCCGAGUUGAGAGACUGAUCGGCCACAUUGGGACUGAGACACGGCCCAAACUCCUACGGGAGGCAGCAGUAGGGAAUCUUCCACAAUGGACGCAAGUCUGAUGGAGCAACGCCGCGUGAGUGAAGAAGGUUUUCGGAUCGUAAAGCUCUGUUGUUGGUGAAGAAGGAUAGAGGUAGUAACUGGCCUUUAUUUGACGGUAAUCAACCAGAAAGUACGC
rnacentral:rRNA from 1 species